rnacentral:rRNA from 1 species
AGAGUUUGAUCCUGGCUCAGAGUGAACGCUGGCGGCAGGCCUAACACAUGCAAGUCGAACGGCAGCACAGCAGUAGCAAUACUGUGGGUGGCGAGUGGCGGACGGGUGAGGAAUACAUCGGAAUCUACCUUGUCGUGGGGGAUAACGUAGGGAAACUUACGCUAAUACCGCAUACGAACUAUGGUUGAAAGCGGCGGACCGCAAGGCGUCGCGCGAUUGGAUGAGCCGAUGUCCGAUUAGCUAGUUGGCGGGGUAAAGGCCCACCAAGGCGACGAUCGGUAGCUGGUCUGAGAGGAUGAUCAGCCACACUGGAACUGAGACACGGUCCAGACUCCUACGGGAGGCAGCAGUGGGGAAUAUUGGACAAUGGGGGCAACCCUGAUCCAGCCAUGCCGCGUGUGUGAAGAAGGCCUUCGGGUUGUAAAGCACUUUUGUUGGGGAAGAAAAGCACUGGGCUAAUACCUUGGUGUCAUGACGGUACCCAAAGAAUAAGCACCGGCUAACUUCGUGCCAGCAGCCGCGGUAAUACGAAGGGUGCAAGCGUUACUCGGAAUUACUGGGCGUAAAGCGUGCGUAGGCGGUUUGUUAAGUCUGUCGUGAAAGCCCCGGGCUCAACCUGGGAAUGGCGAUGGAAACUGGCGAGCUAGAGUACGGUAGAGGAGAGUGGAAUUCUCGGUGUAGCAGUGAAAUGCGUAGAGAUCGGGAGGAACAUCAGUUGCGAAGGCGGCUCUCUGGACCAGUACUGACGCUGAGGCACGAAAGCGUGGGGAGCAAACAGGAUUAGAUACUCUGGUAGUUCACGCCCUAAACGAUGCGAACUGGACGUUGGGAGCAAUUAGGCUCUCAGUGUCGAAGCUAACGCGUUAAGUUCGCCGUCUGGGGGAGUACGGUCGCAAGACUGAAACUCAAAGGAAUUG